rnacentral:lncRNA from 12 species
GGUUAUCCUGCUUAGGUAAUCAACUACAAUUGCAUUCAGGUGCCAGCAUCUUCAAAACUAGGAGGAGUAUAGGGCAGGGGAGAAAAAAUGCGAGUAGGACAAGAAGCGAGCAAGAAAUCUGGUUGCUUCACUGCUGUGGAGUUUCUACAUGCUGCUGUUGCUGGAUCUGUGUUAGGAGAGUCCUGUUUUGCCCUUUUUUCACAGGCAUGGAUCAACAACUGCUGGUCUUGGAUACCAUUGCAGAGUUGCUGGAUGUGCUGUUCAGGUGUUUGAAGCUCUGGUAACUGCUCUGUGGGAGGAGACAGCUCCAGCCCAACUGCCCUUCUCUACAAGCCUCUAGCCAAGGUGUCUGCAAGAGAAGUUUUACAGCUUCUGAAGAGUAUUGAAGACAGGCUGACUGUAGGCAUAGCUGCCUCUCACGAGCAGGGGUUGAGAGACUGCAGGCUUGGGAGUGAAAGCCUUGCCAGAGGCUUAUUCCCAAGUGCAGUUGUGUUCACAGCUUCCUCAGAGUCAAGAUCAGAGGGUAAAGAAAGAAGACAUGGAUCAGACCACGUCUCUGGGGGUGAUGCUCUUGGACUGCUCAACCCAUCCUGCAAGCAACUAAGGACGUGCAUGUGCCACUGUGAGAGGAGGAACAGAUAUGCUUUAGGGAAGGGCUUCAUGGCAAGGUGAGGACACCUUUGCAAGUUCCCAGUGGUCCUGCUGCUCUGCCUUUUCUCCACCUCACAGUCAGUAGCUCCCCUUGCGAAGCCGGGUGCCCUGCUGUGCCCAGGAGCUGGGGAGCAGUCCAUGGACCUGUGUGCUGCUCUCCUGGGCCCACACUCAGA